GGUAAUACGUAGGGUGCGAGCGUUAAUCGGAAUUACUGGGCGUAAAGCGUGCGCAGGCGGUUCGUUAAGACAGAUGUGAAAUCCCCGGGCUUAACCUGGGAACUGCAUUUGUGACUGGCGAGCUAGAGUAUGGCAGAGGGGGGUAGAAUUCCACGUGUAGCAGUGAAAUGCGUAGAGAUGUGGAGGAAUACCGAUGGCGAAGGCAGCCCCCUGGGCCAAUACUGACGCUCAUGCACGAAAGCGUGGGGAGCAAACA
rnacentral:rRNA from 1 species